rnacentral:rRNA from 1 species
GACGAACGCUGGCGGCAGGCCUAACACAUGCAAGUCGAACGCGUGGCGGACGGGUGAGUAAUGUCUGGGAAACUGCCCUAUGGAGGGGGAACACUACUGGAAACGGUAGCUAAUACCGCAUACCAUCGGCAGUGCACAGAUGGGAUUAGCUAGUAGGUGGGGUAACGGCUCACCUAGGCGACGAUCCCUAGCUGGUCUGAGAGGAUGACCAGCAACACUGGAACUGAGACACGGGCCAGACUCCUACGGGAGGCAGCAGUGGGGAAUAUUGAACAAUGGGCGCAAGCCUGAUGCAGCCAUGCCGCGUGUAUGAAGAAGGCCUUCGGGUUGUAAAGUACUUUCAGCUGGGAGGCGUUACUCACAGAAGAAGCACCGGCUAACUCCGUGCCAGCAGCCGCGGUAAUAC